rnacentral:rRNA from 1 species
GGACACGUGGUAUCCUGUCUGAAUAUGGGGGGACCAUCCUCCAAGGCUAAAUACUCCUGACUGACCGAUAGUGAACCAGUACCGUGAGGGAAAGGCGAAAAGAACCCCGGCGAGGGGAGUGAAAAAGAACCUGAAACCGUGUACGUACAAGCAGUGGGAGCACGCUUAGGCGUGUGACUGCGUACCUUUUGUAUAAUGGGUCAGCGACUUAUAUUCUGUAGCAAGGUUAACCGAAUAGGGGAGCCGAAGGGAAACCGAGUCUUAACUGGGCGUUAAGUUGCAGGGUAUAGACCCGAAACCCGGUGAUCUAGCCAUGGGCAGGUUGAAGGUUGGGUAACACUAACUGGAGGACCGAACCGACUAAUGUUGAAAAAUUAGCGGAUGACUUGUGGCUGGGGGUGAAAGGCCAAUCAAACCGGGAGAUAGCUGGUUCUCCCCGAAAGCUAUUUAGGUAGCGCCUCGUGAAUUCAUCUCCGGGGGUAGAGCACUGUUUCGGCAAGGGGGUCAUCCCGACUUACCAACCCGAUGCAAACUGCGAAUACCGGAGAAUGUUAUCACGGGAGACACACGGCGGGUGCUAACGUCCGUCGUGAAGAGGGAAACAACCCAGACCGCCAGCUAAGGUCCCAAAGUCAUGGUUAAGUGGGAAACGAUGUGGGAAGGCCCAGACAGCCAGGAUGUUGGCUUAGAAGCAGCCAUCAUUUAAAGAAAGCGUAAUAGCUCACUGGUCGAGUCGGCCUGCGCGGAAGAUGUAACGGGGCUAAACCAUGCACCGAAGCUGCGGCAGCGACGCUUAUGCGUUGUUGGGUAGGGGAGCGUUCUGUAAGCCUGUGAAGGUGUGCUGUGAGGCAUGCUGGAGGUAUCAGAAGUGCGAAUGCUGACAUAAGUAACGAUAAAGCGGGUGAAAAGCCCGCUCGCCGGAAGACCAAGGGUUCCUGUCCAACGUUAAUCGGGGCAGGGUGAGUCGACCCCUAAGGCGAGGCCGAAAGGCGUAGUCGAUGGGAAACAGGUUAAUAUUCCUGUACUUGGUGUUACUGCGAAGGGGGGACGGAGAAGGCUAUGUUGGCCGGGCGACGGUUGUCCCGGUUUAAGCGUGUAGGCUGGUUUUCCAGGCAAAUCCGGAAAAUCAAGGCUGAGGCGUGAUGACGAGGCACUACGGUGCUGAAGCAACAAAUGCCCUGCUUCCAGGAAAAGCCUCUAAGCAUCAGGUAACAUCAAAUCGUACCCCAAACCGACACAGGUGGUCAGGUAGAGAAUACCAAGGCGCUUGAGAGAACUCGGGUGAAGGAACUAGGCAAAAUGGUGCCGUAACUUCGGGAGAAGGCACGCUGAUAUGUAGGUGAAGUCCCUCGCGGAUGGAGCUGAAAUCAGUCGAAGAUACCAGCUGGCUGCAACUGUUUAUUAAAAACACAGCACUGUGCAAACACGAAAGUGGACGUAUACGGUGUGACGCCUGCCCGGUGCCGGAAGGUUAAUUGAUGGGGUUAGCCGCAAGGCGAAGCUCUUGAUCGAAGCCCCGGUAAACGGCGGCCGUAACUAUAACGGUCCUAAGGUAGCGAAAUUCCUUGUCGGGUAAGUUCCGACCUGCACGAAUGGCGUAAUGAUGGCCAGGCUGUCUCCACCCGAGACUCAGUGAAAUUGAACUCGCUGUGAAGAUGCAGUGUACCCGCGGCAAGACGGAAAGACCCCGUGAACCUUUACUAUAGCUUGACACUGAACAUUGAGCCUUGAUGUGUAGGAUAGGUGGGAGGCUUAGAAGUGUGGACGCCAGUCUGCAUGGAGCCGACCUUGAAAUACCACCCUUUAAUGUUUGAUGUUCUAACGUUGACCCGUAAUCCGGGUUGCGGACAGUGUCUGGUGGGUAGUUUGACUGGGGCGGUCUCCUCCUAAAGAGUAACGGAGGAGCACGAAGGUUGGCUAAUCCUGGUCGGACAUCAGGAGGUUAGUGCAAUGGCAUAAGCCAGCUUGACUGCGAGCGUGACGGCGCGAGCAGGUGCGAAAGCAGGUCAUAGUGAUCCGGUGGUUCUGAAUGGAAGGGCCAUCGCUCAACGGAUAAAAGGUACUCCGGGGAUAACAGGCUGAUACCGCCCAAGAGUUCAUAUCGACGGCGGUGUUUGGCACCUCGAUGUCGGCUCAUCACAUCCUGGGGCUGAAGUAGGUCCCAAGGGUAUGGCUGUUCGCCAUUUAAAGUGGUACGCGAGCUGGGUUUAGAACGUCGUGAGACAGUUCGGUCCCUAUCUGCCGUGGGCGCUGGAGAACUGAGGGGGGCUGCUCCUAGUACGAGAGGACCGGAGUGGACGCAUCACUGGUGUUCGGGUUGUCAUGCCAAUGGCACUGCCCGGUAGCUAAAUGCGGAAGAGAUAAGUGCUGAAAGCAUCUAAGCACGAAACUUGCC